rnacentral:tRNA from 1 species
AGAGUUGUGGCUCAGUGGUAGAGCAAUUGCCUAGCAGGCACGAGGCACUGGGUUCAAUCCCCAGCACCGCAU